GACUCGAGUUCUCCCAUACCAAUUAGGUUGGUCAGACAUGAAAUGUGUUGACCUAAAUCAUACUAGUCACUACAUCAGAUGCAUGUGACUAAUUAGAAGAGAUCUGAACUCAAAUUUUCUCACUGAAUAUUGUCUACUGGUCUUCCACUGUUGUAGAGAUGUGGGUGUCUUUUUCGACAUUGAUCAUUCUCGACUGGUUACGGUGGUUCGAUUGCAUUGAGAAGGUACAACUACUCUAUUGGUAUUAGAUACCCCGAGGUAAAGAUGGGAUUGGGCCCAAUAACUGUUAGGUGAGGGACCCAAUGAUGGCUUUGCUCUCGCUGGUGAACGAUGGGUCGG
rnacentral:lncRNA from 1 species